AAUUGGUGUGUGCUAUCGAGAUUGCUAGCUGUAUUUAGACAGCCCUUGCAGUCAAUUGUAACUUAGUUCUUUUCAUGUGUCACACUCUUAUUUGCUUUUCCAUUCAUCUUGCUCUCAAAGUCAUGACGAAGCCCAAAGCAAGAAGCUGCCCCUAUUGUGGAGCAAGCAUCAUGCCAAUCAGAAGACCUGUGCCAGCUGCUGUGUUUGCCUCCUGCAAAAAAAGUCAUUCAAAGAAAAAGAAAAGGCAGUGAGCAAGCUUGCUGCCUUUGGCUACAACCCAAUUCUGUUCAUCAGGAAGAAGAAGAAGAGGGUGAACACAGUAAAUGCUGAAAUGAUCACCUACAUGUGCCCUGGAGGGGACGGGCCUGUAAAACCCUUUUUAGAAAAGAUGAGCAGGGCAUAUGAGUACAUUAUUAAAAAUUCUCAAAGGAUGCAAUUGCCAGAAGCUCCCAGCCCAUCUCCAACUCCACAGUCUACCUCCUCUACCUCCCAACCCUCUUCUCCUCCUCAUCCUCCAGACCCUUCCACCUUUCUCCCAUCUCAUCUCAUCCCCAAAUGGACUAUGAGGAGGAGACUUACACCCUAACCCUCGUCCCUGUCCGGCCUCCAAGCACCGCCUCAGCAUCUCCCUCUCAAAAAACCAUGACUGAAAGUGUGUCUGCACAGUGCUCCCGCUCUCCCACACCUACUAUCUCCCUGACCAGUGCAACAGGUGAAGGGAAGAAAAAGAGGAAGAGAGGUAUUUUUUGUUUUUGUGGUACAGCCUACUCAUCAAAUUAAAUGUGCAAUGCAAUUCCUUGAUAGCAGCAUGAUAAUAUUGUUUGUGUGCAUGUAGACACAAUGAACCAGACACAUGCAAAGAGCGAUGCAAACAGAAGACUUUUCAGAGUUUUUUCCCUAAUCCCUGUUAUUAUCAGUAACAAUAAAAAACAUAAAGGAUUACUCACUAACUUGUCCUCAUCUACAGGUAGAAGAUAAAUUAUUCAUGAGAUAAAACAAAAACUAAUGUGGACACAUAUGAGACAAGAUGGACACUUUUUCUCUUCCUCUGUGCGUCAGCAUUG